GGAGGGUGCAAGCGUUAUCCGGAUUCACUGGGUUUAAAGGGUGCGUAGGCGGUCUUAUAAGUCAGUGGUGAAAGCCCAUCGCUCAACGAUGGAACUGCCAUUGAUACUGUAAGACUUGAAUGCUUAGGAAGUAACUAGAAUAUGUAGUGUAGCGGUGAAAUGCUUAGAUAUUACAUGGAAUACCAAUUGCGAAGGCAGGUUACUACUAAGUGAUUGACGCUGAUGGACGAAAGCGUGGGGAGCGAACAGGAUUAGAUACCCUGGUAGUCCACGCCGUAAACGAUGGAUACUAGCUGUUCGGCGCAAGUUGAGUGGCUAAGCGAAAGUGAUAAGCAUUCCGCCUGGGGAGU
rnacentral:rRNA from 1 species